ACCUUAGCCUCCAAUUUAUCCACAGAUGCAAUCGCUUUGAGAUCGACGCACUAUCCCCCUUGUCCGCCGUGGGGGGAACUAUUUGGGCGGCCUGGCCCCGCGCCUGUUUUACCCAUUAUCGGAUUGGCUCUCCCGAAGAAGCGGUAUCCCCGCAAAACUAGUAGAGACCCGACCAAUCUUUGAUGUGCAUUAUUGUCUAUUUCUGUAACCUUUUAAUUGUAAUAAAAUAUUUUUUAACUUAA